GAUGAAGAACGCAGCGAAAUGCGAUAAGUAAUGUGAAUUGCAGAAUUCAGUGAAUCAUCGAAUCUUUGAACGCACAUUGCGCCCGCCAGUAUUCUGGCGGGCAUGCCUGUUCGAGCGUCAUUUCAACCAUCAAGCCCCCGGGCUUGUGUUGGGGACCUGCGGCUGCCCGCAGGCCCUGAAAACCAGUGGCGGGCUCGCUGUCACUCCGAGCGUAGUAGUAUCACCUCGCUCAGGGCGUGCUGCGGGUUCCGGCCGUUAAACCACCCAUUACCCCAAGGUUGACCUCGGAUCAGGUAGGAAUACCCGCUGAACUUAAGCAUAUCAAUAAGCGGAGGA
rnacentral:misc_RNA from 1 species